UCGUCUGAUUAUUAAUACGUUGACAUUGUUUAUCAGUAAAAUUUGAUUGAAGCGGACCUUGAAAAAGUUCGGAUCGCGUGAACUAAAGGUUUAAAGCGACUCUCGAACUAUCGACACGUUAACAAGCAGAAAGAUACCUCGAACAUAAGGAGGGGAAGCAUGACAAUUUCCAUGGCAGCUACGUGGCAAAACUAGUGAAAGGCGCCUCAAAGCUUCGGCUAGGCGGCCUGCAGCCCCAAUUUGUUCACUCUCAGCGAAAUCGAAUUGCUCUCCGAUGUUAUCUUCAAAUAGAAGCAAACGACACUUACGGCAAGAAUACUCACGCGCCAGGACUUCUUUUCGACGUACUUGUACACCAAUGAUGGCCUCCAUGGGAACUUCCGUACGUGGAAUGCUGACUGCAUGUGGUGGUAAGUAAAUCGGUUCCAAGUUCCCAAAGGUGCAUUCUUGCGGGAUAUUUUUAUAACAGUAAGAGUGCAACUGCAACCAGACGAUUAUUACAUUUCUUAUUUAUUAUUAUUACGAGUAUAUUGACCAUUGUUUCAAAGUACAGGAUGAUCUUACGCUUUAAAAAAUGUAGGGUAGUCAGCGUUAAAUAUUACGACAUAGUUUCUUCAUAGCUGAUAGAAAUGAUAAGAUGGAAAUAAAUUAUAUUUUGAUAUUUUAGAAUUCUCGAAGAUUCUCCCGCUAUGAUCGGUUUUUUUAUCGUCCAACAUCAUCGUCCGUG
rnacentral:misc_RNA from 1 species